AAGGAGCGGCGGCAGGCUCGGCUAGGCAGCCGCCGGCGUACGACAGCCCCAGGGAGGCGGCGAUGCCGGUGGGGCGUGGGGUUUCGGAGUGCCCCGGCCCCGCAGAAGCUCCCCCGGCCCAGCGAUGUCGCCGGCCCGGAGCGCGGGAGCGGCGGGGUUCGCUGAGGGGAGAGGGGGGGCUCGGCAGCGCCGCGGUGCGCCCGCGCUUCGCGGCCCGUGUGGACGUGACGCGCCGCCACGCUCCCGGCCAGCUGUGCCCGGCGAAGGGGGCCGCUUCGGCGGGCGUUCCCCCGCCCAGCGCUGCUCGCAGGCGGCGGGGAGCAGGGCUCGGCGACUGCGGGAAGCCCCGCUUCCGCCUGAGCGAGCGCGCCGGGCAGGGGCUCAUCCGGCGGGCGGGGGCUCGUAGGGCGGCCACCCCCUCUUUUUGAGCUCCGGCGCGGCGCGCUGCCGGCUCCCCGCAUGCACGGCCACACGUAGGCGGCGGACGGGGCGAGCCGGGCGGGCGGGGAGGGGGCCGCGGCUGCCGAGCCGCACGUAGGGAGGGUGGGCGCGGCCUCGCCGGCGGCGCGGAGCCGGGCGGCGGGGGCUCUCCUCCCCCGCGCACGUAGGGGCGAGCGGUGACCGAGGCGGCUGGGGAGAGGAGCGGAGCGGAGCGCUGGCGUCCGAGACACCCCGCGCCCCGAAUUUCUUCACAUUCAAUUUCCCCGUGACAACAGAUGUUCCUGCUCUAGUCAUGGAUAUCUUGGUUGAGAAGCUUGAGGCUCCUGACAUACAGGUAUAUCUGGAAACAGCCAUUACAAGAAGUCUAACCUUCAACAAUACUAAAAAAUCCGGAUUCUUUUUGCCCUCUUUCUUGGACCACAGAUUUCACUGACAAAGCCUAAACCAAGUUCCUCUGCCAGUACAGCUGCAUGGGACAGAGAUGCAAUUCCUGGUGUGCAGCUGAGGCCCAGCAGAACACCCCAAUGCAGGUAUCAUUACACAAGUGGCUGUGUUCAUGGGGACCAUCUGAAGACCUCAACCCUAGGCGCAUCCACGCCAACUACUCUCGCCUACAGCACAAUCGUAUGCCUCAGCCAACAAAAUACCAACUAGAUACAAGCUCACUUAAAAGCUGCAGAUGCCAAAGAGGGUAUUACAACAGAGCUCUCCUCUUUUGACUGGGCUGAAUAUGCAGUCAUUCGAUUUUCUCUGCUGGUUGUUAAAUCUUUAUUUUGCACAGAGCUGCUAGCCACAAUAUUUACUAAAUUAUUCUUAUAUGGAAAGAAGUCCCAAGCAAGCUCAGUGUUUGCCACAGAGCAACUAAAACAGUGUAAAUCAAAUUCCCUAAAGACGACUUCAUACGAAAAAUAGGCUUAUAAUGUAAGAGAACAUCAAAUCCAGUUAUUUAAAUAUAUGGCCAGCUAAUGAUGCAGGUAUUCGUCCGAAGAAAAGCAAAACCAAAACAACCCAUGCAAAACUCCCAAUAUAACCCACACUCAAUACCCAAAAGCCUCUCAGCUUCCACCUGGCAUAGAUGGAGAACUUGCCAGUUAGCCCCCUUAUCCCCUUAUAAAUACUUUUAAAUUGAUGUUAAACAACCUCAAUUAGGGGCAACAGAGCUGCAGUGUUAACACUAUCAAGUCCUGAGACAGACCCACACAAAACAUGGCUCAGAGUCGCAGGCAGCCCCAAAAGCCCCCUUCCCCUCUCGCCUCCCAGCCCAUCAGUAACUUGUCCGGCCUGACUUGCAGCUGAGACACAGCAGCCACCACCUAAGAUGCAGCAGCCCAGACUGUACAUCGCUUAUCAGGGAAACGACAGAAGAGGUUAUAGUAGGGGCAGCUGGGUCCACUACAGUUGGUCUUGUAUGGUAGCCCCAACUUUUCCUGUUUAAACAUGAGAAAACACAGGCAAUGGAGCCGGGGGAGGAAAGGGGACAGAGAACCAGCUUCACCUCGCGUGUCGGCUUACCGGGCUACUUGAUUCUGGUAUCCAAGCACUCCUCCCAACAGUGAGGGAAAAGACAUUUUGGACUGUGCUCUCAAACACUUAUUGCAAAGUCUGAAUUUUCAGUUGGAUAGGCAGGCUUUCUGGGAACUGUAAUGUAUUUGCAAAUUCUCCAUAAAUUUUACUUUUUUUUGGUUAGGAGAUGUGCUCCUUCCUUCUAUAGCUGCCUUACAGAAUUAGUACAAUCACUCAGCUACCAGUUCACGAAGAACUCUGGGUUACAGCUUUGCCUCUUCUUGCUUUGACAUGACUUUUAAGUAUUAUUGCUUUCACCAUUAUGGCCAAUUUCAUUUACCAAUUCUCAUUAUUUUAUAGUCUGCGCAGAGAGUUCUUGUAAGGAAAAUACCAACCAAACAAAAAAACCCCACAUCCAAAUCUCAUGUGUAAUCACAAGCAUGUGAUUUUCUAAAAGAAAGUCUUGCUCAUUAUUAAUUAAUGAACCUUACAGCCCAGUAAUCCAACUCAGGAAAAGAAAUCAGAAAUUCCUCCCAUACAGUAAGAAAGAUUUAAGAGAGAUUUAACUGCAGAAACUAGCCUAAAAUGCAAGCAGAGACAACACUUCUCUAUGUAAACUCUUAAAAUUCAUUCCUUUGUGCGUUACCUUCUGACAAAGCAGCUUAUUUUCUUUACAUGAGGGUAGUUACAGGCAUUUACCAUAACUUGACUACCACCAAAUAAAAAAAAAAAAACCCUAACUGAAAAAAACCCUAAUGAAUUAAGAGAGCAAGCAGGCAGUUCAGGCUGAAUUAGCUACAACAGCACAAACUUUCUGAGUGAACACUGAAACCCACUGCCGUUUGCAAAAUGAUAGUGGGGAGAGGCAGCGAGAAGACUCCACUGAGCUACGCAUUAACUUACAAAGUCUUUACUAUCAAGACUGUGAAGUCUGUAUAAACAGCCAUUUUACAGAGAGGUAAAUUAUGACACCUAAGAGCCAGCAGCAGAGCCUGAAACUCCUGAAGCCAGCACAGGACCAGACUGCCAAGAUUAUCUGUCACCUGGAUUUGGCCUUGAACUGACCUGAAACCCCAACUACCUCCCUGCUUAGAAAGUGUGAGUAAGAAGGUAAAAGUUUCCCAAAUUAGUAUUUCUAAUUCAGAACGUGGUCAAGUGAUUCUGCUGCAUCCUACUACACAACGUAACCCACUGAUAUUUUACUUUUGCAUAGUAAUUUACUGUUUUAAAAUAACCAUAUGGCAUACAGUGGUUGCUUGUAAGAAAAGUCUACUUUUUUUCAAGUAGGUUACUUGGCUUUUUCCUAGAAUACAGCACUCUUUUUUUUUUUCUCUUUUAAUUAGCUAUGCUCUGCCCUUCAGGAUGAAAGAUACAUGGUAAUUAAAUUGUGUUUAUUAUUACAGAAAAGCCACAGCUAUUCAAAAGAGCUAUCUGGACAUGGGCUUGACAGAACUAGCCACUAAGUGCUCCCCUUCCUUCAGCACUUCUGCUUUUGCAUCUACCAGGCUCACAAAAAAAAAGAUGCAAAAGAUAACCCCAAGGCAUCUGUCAGGCUCUCAGUUAACAACCUUUUAGGCACAAACUGGUCUAUCUUCAGACAGAUGCAGACUCUUGAUAAAGUAACUAAUUUUAGUUUACAUCAUGGUUUUAAAAUAUACCAUUUAUGUCAUUGUAUUUAGGUUUUCCAGACUGGAGGCUGGACAUUUUCCCUCACUGCUUCCAUCUAAGCUCUCAUCCCUUCACUUCGUGUUCCCCAACUGCUUUCAGUUAACAAGGUAUUUCAUGAUCAAAGAUUUUAGGAACUAAAAAAAAAAACCACCAAAACAGAAGUAGGAGAUAUAAAAUUUUAUUUUUCUGUAUGAAUAAAGAACAAAUAGAUUCACGAAGCGGUCAAGAGUAGAGCUUCUCAUUUCUCUAGCUUAGCUGCAGCUUUUAUGUUUGAUGUGGAUUACUUCAAGUCUUCUGUUCCUUGAAGCAUAUUCCCAUCUCUUCCAACAGGUGUGAGCAGGGGGCAAAUUUAAGGAGUUAAACCUCUAGUAACUCUCUUCCUAA